rnacentral:rRNA from 1 species
GCCUACCAUGGUGUUAACGGGUAACGGGGAAUUAGGGUUCGAUUCCGGAGAGGGAGCCUGAGAAACGGCUACCACAUCCAAGGAAGGCAGCAGGCGCGCAAAUUACCCAAUCCCGAUACGGGGAGGUAGUGACAAUAAAUAACAAUACAGGGCUUUCUAGUCUUGUAAUUGGAAUGAGUACAAUUUAAAUCCCUUAACGAGGAACAAUUGGAGGGCAAGUCUGGUGCCAGCAGCCGCGGUAAUUCCAGCUCCAAUAGCGUAUAUUAAAGUUGUUGCAGUUAAAAAGCUCGUAGUUGAAUUUCGGGGUUAGUAGGUUGGUCAUGCCUCUGGUAUGUACUGAUCUCACUGAUUCCUCCCUCUUGACGAACUGUAAUGUCAUUAAUUUGGUGUUGCAGGAAAUCAGGACUGUUACUUUGAAAAAAUUAGAGUGUUUAAAGCAGGCUAAGGCCUGAAUACAUUAGCAUGGAAUAAUGAAAUAGGACGUUUGAACCUAUUUUGUUGGUUUCUAGGAUCGACGUAAUGAUUAAUAGGGAUAGUUGGGGGCAUUAGUAUUCAAUUGUCAGAGGUGAAAUUCUUGGAUUUAUUGAAGACUAACUACUGCGAAAGCAUUUGCCAAGGAUGUUUUCAUUAAUCAAGAACGAAAGUUAGGGGAUCGAAGACGAUCAGAUACCGUCGUA